rnacentral:rRNA from 1 species
UACGUAGGGUGCGAGCGUUGUCCGGAAUUAUUGGGCGUAAAGAGCUUGUAGGCGGUCUGGCGCGUAUGCUGUGAAAAUCCGGGGCUCAACCCCGGACUUGCAGUGGGUACGGGCAGACUAGAGUGUGGUAGGGGAGACUGGAAUUCCUGGUGUAGCGGUGAAAUGCGCAGAUAUCAGGAGGAACACCGAGGGCGAAGGCAGGUCUCUGGGCCACUACUGACGCUGAGAAGCGAAAGCAUGGGGAGCGAACAGG